CCUACGGGUGGUAGCAGUGGGGAAUAUUGCGCAAUGGGCGAAAGCCUGACGCAGCGACGCCGCGUGAGGGAUGAAGGUCUUCGGAUCGUAAACCUCUGUCAGCAGGGAAGAACGGUCACGGUGCUAAGCAGCAGUGAAUUGACGGUACCUGCAAAGGAAGCACGGGCUAACUCCGUGCCAGCAGCCGCGGUAAUACGGAGGGUGCGAGCGUUAAUCGGAAUUACUGGGCGUACAGCGCUCGGAGGCGGUAUGUCAAGUCAAGGGUGAACUCCCCGCUCUCAACGUGGGAACUGCCUUUGAAACUGGCAACCUGGAGUGUGUGAGAGGCUAGU
rnacentral:rRNA from 1 species